UUCCCUGAGUAGCGGCGAGCGAAACGGGAAAAGCCCAAACCAGCAAGCUUGCUUGUUGGGGUUGUAGGACUCCAAUAUGGUAGUUCUUUCAGAUAGUCGAAUGACUUGGAAAAGUCAGUCAAAGAGGGUAAAAACCCCGUAGACGAAAUGUGGAAGACACCUAGGAGGAUCCUGAGUACGGCGGAACACGAGAAAUUCCGUCGGAAUCCGGGAGGACCAUCUCCCAAGGCUAAAUACUCCCUAGUGACCGAUAGUGAACCAGUACCGUGAGGGAAAGGUGAAAAGCACCCCGGAAGGGGAGUGAAAUAGAACCUGAAACCGUGUGCCUACAACAAGUCAAAGCCCGUUAAUGGGUGAUGGCGUGCCUUUUGUAGAAUGAACCGGCGAGUUACGAUUGCAUGCGAGGUUAAGUUGAAGAGACGGAGCCGCAGCGAAAGCGAGUCUGAAUAGGGCGUUUGAGUAUGUAGUCGUAGACCCGAAACCAUGUGAUCUACCCAUGUCCAGGUUGAAGGUGCGGUAAAACGCACUGGAGGACCGAACCCACGUACGUUGAAAAGUGCGGGGAUGAGGUGUGGGUAGCGGAGAAAUUCCAAACGAACUUGGAGAUAGCUGGUUCUCUCCGAAAUAGCUUUAGGGCUAGCCUCGGAAUUGAGAAUGAUGGAGGUAGAGCACUGUUUGGACUAGGGGCCCAUCUCGGGUUACCGAAUUCAGAUAAACUCCGAAUGCCAUUCAUUCAUAUCCGGGAGUCAGACUGUGAGUGAUAAGAUCCAUAGUCGAAAGGGAAACAGCCCAGACCACCAGCUAAGGUCCCAAAAUAUAUGUUAAGUGGAAAAGGAUGUGGGGUUGCACAGACAACUAGGAUGUUGGCUUAGAAGCAGCCACCAUUUAAAGAGUGCGUAAUAGCUCACUAGUCGAGUGACCCUGCGCCGAAAAUGUACCGGGGCUAAACAUAUUACCGAAGCUGUGGAGUACACCUUUAGGUGUAUUGGU
rnacentral:rRNA from 1 species